rfam:Brucella melitensis biovar Abortus 2308 chromosome II, complete sequence, strain 2308
ACCGCACAUCCAGAGUUGGGGCGACGCCCAACGCCAACCUGCCGUUCCGGGCAAGGUGGUACUCCCCGAAAGGGAGGAUGUUGCCGAACCGGCAAUUAUACGGAUGAAG